rnacentral:rRNA from 1 species
GACGAACGCUGGCGGCGUGCUUAACACAUGCAAGUCGAACGGAAAGGCCCUGCUUUUGUGGGGUGCUCGAGUGGCGAACGGGUGAGUAACACGCGAGUAACCUGCCCUUGACUUUGGGAUAACUUCAGGAAACUGGGGCUAAUACCGGGUAGGAGCUCCUGCUGCAUGGUGGGGGUUGGAAAGUUUCGGCGGUUGGGGAUGGACUCGCGGCUUAUCAGCUUGUUGGUGGGGUAGUGGCUUACCAAGGCUUUGACGGGUAGCCGGCCUGAGAGGGUGACCGGCCACAUUGGGACUGAGAUACGGCCCAGACUCCUACGGGAGGCAGCAGUGGGGAAUAUUGCACAAUGGGCGGAAGCCUGAUGCAGCAACGCCGCGUGCGGGAUGACGGCCUUCGGGUUGUAAACCGCUUUCGCCUGUGACGAAGCGUGAGUGACGGUAAUGGGUAAAGAAGCACCGGCUAACUACGUG